GAUGAACGCUGGCGGCGUGCCUAAUACAUGCAAGUCGAGCGAUUGGAUUAAGAGCUUGCUCUUAUGAAGUUAGCGGCGGACGGGUGAGUAACACGUGGGUAACCUGCCCAUAAGACUGGGAUAACUCCGGGAAACCGGGGCUAAUACCGGAUAACAUUUUGAACCGCAUGGUUCGAAAUUGAAAGGCGGCUUCGGCUGUCACUUAUGGAUGGACCCGCGUCGCAUUAGCUGGUUGGUGAGGUAACGGCUCACCAAGGCAACGAUGCGUAGCCGACCUGAGAGGGUGAUCGGCCACACUGGGACUGAGACACGGCCCAGACUCCUACGGGAGGCAGCAGUAGGGAAUCUUCCGCAAUGGACGAAAGUCUGACGGAGCAACGCCGCGUGAGUGAUGAAGGCUUUCGGGUCGUAAAACUCUGUUGUUAGGGAAGAACAAGUGCUAGUUGAAUAAGCUGACACCUUGACGGUACCUAACCAGAAAGCCACGGCUAACUACGUGCCAGCCGCCGCGGUAA
rnacentral:rRNA from 1 species